AUUCCCGAAUAUGCCAGAAAUACAGAAAUGCCUCCGAGAAGUCUUGUGAGGCCUCUGUGGCCUCGAAAUUGCCAGAAUGGUUCACCCCGCAGUGCCCUGGACAAGUAGCUGAAAAGUUAUUUGCAAGGCUGAAUUAAACCCAGUGCAGCCAUUCUUCAGGGGAGCCAUCCAGCUACAUUCUCAGACUCAAGGCAGAUUGAGUCACCUUCUUCCGCUGUGUUAAUCUGUACUGUGAUUUUAAAAGAGACUCUCCUCUUCAGUCGGUGGACGGACAUCUCCUGCUUUGCAGGAAGACACAGUCCCAUUGGCCUCAUUAGCCAAGGCUUGGGAUUCAAGUAUGUAGAUGAGCACACGUAUGGCUGUGCUGGACCUUUGCCUCCUUUCCCUUCUCUUCUCGUUGCCUGGGAGGCUGGCCUUCAGUGGACCACACCUGCAGCAGAUCUUCCGUGCCCACCAAUUCCAGAAGCAGUCUUGUUGGAUUAAGGGGCGUGAAUAGUUGAGUUCUUGAUCCACGUGUCAAACUGUGGAGCUUCAUUUUGAGCUGGCUGCCAUGUUGUAAGGAAGCCUCCACACACACCCUCCAGGGCAACUUCCAGCCAACAGCUAGUAAUGACCAUCUGAAGCUCUCAGUCCAAUGUCCCGUGAGGAGCAGAAUCCUGCUGCAACCACGGAGUGAGCUUGGAAAUGGAUUUCUUCCCAGUCGAGCCUUCAGAUGACUGCAACCCCCUCAGCACCUUGAUUGCACCUGUGAGACAUCUUGAGCCAGAGGACUCAGAAAAAUUAAUGACCUUGGCCCUACUUGCCCAGCUUCUCAUGCCAACCCCGGCAUUAUAGCGAAGUCCCACCCAGCCAAAGCUGAGAGGGAGGAUGGAGGAAGGGACAGAGAAAGAGAGAGGAG